AAACUAGCCAAGAGAUGAGUUCUCCCAACUUUAGAAGUUGUAAGGGUUGUUUGAGACUAAGACGUAGAUAGGCAGGGUGUGUAAGCGUUGUGAGACGUUGAGCUAACCUGUACUAAUUGCCCGAGAGACUUAACCAU
rnacentral:rRNA from 1 species